rnacentral:lncRNA from 1 species
CCACUCUUUGGGUUUGUUUCAGUUCCAGGUUUUCUUAGUGUGUUUAAGUCUACUUUGUGGUCCAAGCUCUGGCUAGAUUUUCAGAGAGAAUUUUCUAGCAGAAUGGAAUUCCACCUGGGGCAGCAAGCUCAGUGGGAAUGUUCCAAUCAACCCAGAUGACUGACCCCUGCUAAGAAUGGUAGAGAGAAAGAUUCUACUGGAAGUCCUGUAAUGGACCUGCAAUCCUAUUUUCCAGGUCCCUGGCUCCAGGGCCCACUGUGACACAGGAUUCAUCCUGGCAUUCAAGUGCCUACACAACCUGGUUACCUCAUUGAUUGGCCCUUGCCCCGACUCUUCCCUAAGGAGAACACUCGAUACAGGAUGACCCUCUUCUACUUUCUUCCUCAACUUCAUCUUUCAGUUUCUCCAUUGUUCAUUUGUUGGCUCUUUUCUCUGCCUAAAACACCCUAUUCCUUUCUCUGCCACUCAAAUCCUGCCCAGACUUCAAAGCUCAGAACAAAUUGCAUCCCCUCUCUAUAAUCUUCACUGAGCAGCUUCAGCAAACAUUGCUAUUUUCCUUUCCUGAAUUCUUACUAUUGCACUAACUGGAAACUCCCAAUUCUGUUCUCCUUUUGUAUGGUUUCUGGUACCCAAGUCUUAUCAUUUCAGUAGGAUUGUAAAUUCUCAGUGGCAGGAAACAUACUUUAUAAUGAACACUUAAUAGGUGCUCAAUGAAAUUUCUUUCUUUCUCUUUUUCUUUCUUUCUUUCUUUCUUUUUUUCUCUCUUUCUCUUUCUUUUUUUUUUUUUUUUUUUUUUGAGACAGGGUCUUGCUCUGUCACCCAGGCUGGAGUGCAGUGGCAUGAUCUUGGCUCACUGCAACCUCUGCCUCCUGGGUUCAAAUGGAUUCUCAUGCCUCAGCCUCCCGAGGAGCUGGGACUACAGGCGUGUGCCACCACAUCCAGCCAAAUUUUUGUAUUUUUAGUAGGGAAGAGGUUUCACCAUGUUGGCCAGGCUGGUCUCAAACUCCUGACCAUAGUGAUCCUCCUGCCUCGGCCUCCCAAAGAGCUGGGAUUACAGGCAUGAGCCACCAGGCUUGGCCAUGAAAUUUUCGAUGAUUGAUAAGCCAUGUACUGAGCAAGCCUGGUAGGAGAAUUUUAUCAGGCCAAGAAGUCACUUAAAGAGCAUAAUGUUGAAUAAAUGACUAGUUUAUUAAAUGAAUUCUGAGUUUGUCAUUUAAAAUUUUUGUCUUUUAAAUGAGAGUAUAAAGUUGGAGACAAUUCCUGCAGCAGAUGUUUUGUGCCUAAAGCCCUGUUCACCUAAGCCUGCCUGGAAGCAGAAUUGUGGCUUGCUACUCUUGCUAUUAGGCAGGGACAUGGUACAGCUGUGAUGAGUGAUGUGCAUGGGUGUGUGCAUGGCCCUGCAACUGUCUGCCUUCUAAUCACAAUAUUUCUUCCCUCUGAUUUUUACGUUUAUCUUUAGUUAUAAUCUUGCAUUAUACUCAAAUUCUUGAGGAGAGCAGUGGACUUCUAUCUUAGUAAUGCCUUAAUUAAAACUUCAAUUAAGACGGGCGCGGUGGCUCCCAGCACUUCGGGAGGCUGAGGCAGGCGGAUCACAAGGUCAGGAGAUCGAGACCACCCUGGCUAACACGGUGAAACCC